rnacentral:misc_RNA from 1 species
AAAGUCGUAACAAGGUUUCCGUAGGUGAACCUGCGGAAGGAUCAUUACUGUGAGGCUACCCGGGCUUGUCCCGGGUCCGCUUUCCAACACCCUCUGUCUACCAUUCCAGGUUGCUUCGGCGGGCCAGUCGGGCCCUCGCGCCCGCCAUCGGUCACGAACCGGUGAGCGCCCGUCCGAGGACCGCACACAAAAAUCCGGCGUACACGCAGUCAGAGUUGCAUCGUAUAAAAUGAAGCAAAACUUUCAACAACGGAUCUCUUGGUUCCG